rnacentral:misc_RNA from 1 species
AUUCUUCUGCAUGAUCAUAAUGAGGUAUUGUUAAAUUUAAAGCUUUCAUUAGGUAUUUGAUACAUCUGAUGGUCAAAUAACUUGUGACCCAUUGGUUCCUUCACUUGACUGUCUUGGUGAACAUACGGAAUGUAAUUUGGACAUAUGGUUUGUCUUAAUGUCAAUCUCUGCAUGUUAUGAAUCAUAGGCAUCUCUCUCCCUCUAUCUGACCAACUGAUUUUGCUGAUUACAUAUCCUCAGAAUUUUCCUUAAUAUGCAUCCUGUGGUUGUGUAGAGUAACCAUCAUUUUUUCUACCUUCUUGCAGUUCCUGAACCGAG